rnacentral:rRNA from 1 species
AUUGAACGCUAGCGGGAUGCCUUACACAUGCAAGUCGAACGGCAGCACGGACUUCGGUCUGGUGGCGAGUGGCGAACGGGUGAGUAAUGUAUCGGAACGUGCCCAGUAGCGGGGGAUAACUACGCGAAAGCGUAGCUAAUACCGCAUACGCCCUACGGGGGAAAGCAGGGGAUCGCAAGACCUUGCACUAUUGGAGCGGCCGAUAUCGGAUUAGCUAGUUGGUGGGGUAACGGCUCACCAAGGCGACGAUCCGUAGCUGGUUUGAGAGGACGACCAGCCACACUGGGACUGAGACACGGCCCAGACUCCUACGGGAGGCAGCGGUGGGGAAUUUUGGACAAUGGGGGAAACCCUGAUCCUGCCAUCCCGCGUGUGCGAUGAAGGCCUUCGGGUUGUAAAGCACUUUUGGCAGGAAAGAAACGUCGCGGGUUAAUACCCCGCGAAACUGACGGUACCUGCAGAAUAAGCACCGGCUAACUACGUGCCAGCAGCCGCCGUAACAC